rnacentral:rRNA from 1 species
GAUGAACGCUGGCGGCGUGCCUAAUACAUGCAAGUCGAGCGAACAGACGAGGAGCUUGCUCCUCUGACGUUAGCGGCGGACGGGUGAGUAACACGUGGAUAACCUACCUAUAAGACUGGGAUAACUUCGGGAAACCGGAGCUAAUACCGGAUAAUAUAUUGAACCGCAUGGUUCAAUAGUGAAAGACGGUUUUGCUGUCACUUAUAGAUGGAUCCGCGCCGCAUUAGCUAGUUGGUAAGGUAACGGCUUACCAAGGCAACGAUGCGUAGCCGACCUGAGAGGGUGAUCGGCCACACUGGAACUGAGACACGGUCCAGACUCCUACGGGAGGCAGCAGUAGGGAAGCUUCCGCAAUGGGCGAAAGCCUGACGGAGCAACGCCGCGUGAGUGAUGAAGGUCUUCGGAUCGUAAAACUCUGUUAUUAGGGAAGAACAAAUGUGUAAGUAACUAUGCACGUCUUGACGGUACCUAAUCAGAAAGCCACGGCUAACUACGUG